rnacentral:rRNA from 1 species
CUACGGGGGGCUGCAGUGGGGAAUAUUGCACAAUGGGCGCAAGCCUGAUGCAGCCAUGCCGCGUGUAUGAAGAAGGCCUUCGGGUUGUAAAGUACUUUCAGCGGGGAGGAAGGGGGUAAAGUUAAUACCUUUGCUCAUUGACGUUACCCGCAGAAGAAGCACCGGCUAACUCCGUGCCAGCAGCCGCGGUAAUACGGAGGGUGCAAGCGUUAAUCGGAAUUACUGGGCGUAAAGCGCACGCAGGCGGUUUGUUAAGUCAGAUGGGAAAUCCCCGGGCUCAACCUGGGAACUGCAUCUGAUACUGGCAAGCUUGAGUCUCGUAGAGGGGGGUAGAAUUCCAGGUGUAGCGAUGAAAUGCGUAGAGAUCUGGAGGAAUACCGGUGGCGAAGGCGGCCCCCUGGACGAAGACUGACGCUCAGGUGCGAAAGCGUGGGGAGCAAACAGGAUUAGAUACCCUCGUAGUC